GGCCUGGUGGUCUAGAGGUAUGAUUCCUUCUUAGGGAUCCGUUCCACAACUGGACACGUGAUUGGAGGAGGUCCCGGGUUCGAUUCCCGGCUAGGCCC